CAGGAAGAGGAGGAUUCCCCUGACACAAGGCUGCAGGGCUCACAAGCACUGACAAUUCACUCAUCAGUUUCAGGACCCAUGAAGACAGAGCCACAGAUUCCCCUGAACAGAAUGGCAAUUUUCGUGUGGUGUUAAUUUCCGUGGAAGAAGAAAAGGCUCGACUCUCUGUCCUAUUUUUCAUGAAUACUGGAAGUAGGGAAUAAACCUGGAGUCUCACGGGUGAAAAGAGACAUUUCCAUAUCACCAGACCACAAACGUGGAUGGAGUUUCACUCUUAUGGCCCAGGCUGGAGUGCAAUGGCGUGAUCUCAGCUCACCACAACCUCUGCCUCCCGGGUUCAAGUGGUUCUCCUACCUCAGCCUCCUGAGUAGCUGCGAUUACAGAUACAUAGCUCUGGCCAAGAAGUGUGGUUUUGAAGAGCCCAAACUGUAUCUGUUACCUGAUUUCAAAGAAUAUUCCACCUAGGAGAGACCCAGGUCCUGCAGACUUCCUCUGGACACUUUUGGCAGUCAUUGUUCCCAGCUGAUUCUGCAACAGAUGAAGGACGGAGGAUAGAAUCAUGAAUAGCAACAUCUUAAUUGCUGACUGGGUGUUGAUUCUAAGGAUACCCCCAAUAAACAUCUUUCGUGCUAAAGCCCAUUCCAGAAUUUACUUCCCAGCUAUCUUUGAUGUUCAUAUUGUCAGAGGUGGUGGCCGCUGAAACAGGCAAAGACAUGGAGCAUAUCUUGGGUCCAGGUAAAGGAGGUGGGUGCACACAAGUGAAAAGAUGUUGCUGAAGUCACGUGGCUUCAAGCAGUAGAGCUGACUGUCCUCUAGUCCAGUUGUCCCUACAGGAUAAAAGCUUCUCUCCAUUACAGAGACCUUGGGAGUCCAGAGGAAGGUCUUUUUACCAUCAGCAUUCUCUACUGUGUUCAAUGACUGUCAGCCAAAGAUGGCCAGGUUCUCUACUGUGAUGGUGAAUUUUAUGUGUCAAUUUGACUGGACCAUGGGAUGCCCAGCUUUCCUUCAGAAAGAAAUGCAUUCAAAGAACCUACAUUCACAACAUAAAGAAAUAAAGCCUGCACCUACAGAUCUACACACAUGCCCAUGCACAUGCAGGAAGUGUUCAUCUAAGACUGGACCUUUUAGAAGAAAGCUGGCAUACAUUCGUGAAGGCAUGGGCUUCCAGGCAUGUCAUCUUCACUCACGAAGCACACACAAGACCGCCAAGCAUUAAGAUUCUCCUGUGGAGCCAGGCUACAAUCCUUUAAAUGAAGACAGACAGCUAGGUGGCUGCAGCCCAGCGCUACACCUCACCCCUCCCUCAGUGUCAUGCAGAAAAAAUGUAUUCAGAACUCAGAAGUGAAGUUGUGCAAAUCCAUCAUUGACACUAGCUUCAAGGUUACCUCGGGGGAGCAGAAUGUACCCCUGCCAGAGAGCUGGAUAGAUGAUGAUGGGGACAGAAAUUCUGGGGGAGUUGUAAAUGGCAGCCACUGCCUCUAUAGGAAACCCAAAGGGAACACAGCAGAAGAGGAGGUGGUGGAGGAGCCACUGCCCUCUCGAAGGGUUCAAUGUCAUUCUGCAGACACAACCAAAUAACUUUUUCUUCCCUGCUGCUCCUCCAUUUGAAAUGACAGCCCCGAGCUCGCUUUUUCCUUGAUUGUGUAACUCUGAUUACAGACAAGGCCAAGGCAAUCCCAGGGCAUUACUACAAAGCUAAGGGGUCCCCAAAGAACUAAAGAGUCAGCUCCACAAAAAUCCCGAUUCCUAGCAUGAAACUGAAAUAUGAAACCAAACGGGCAUAGAAAAGGUAUGUGCAUUCGAAUCACAUAGCAGUGACUGGAGUCCUGAGCUGUGUCUGAAGACUGUGAGAUCACGUUUGGAGCUGCUGAUUGGUUUUCAGUGAUGGCCCUGUUGCACAGUGCCGUGAGACUUAGCUCCAUGGCCAAAGACGAUGGUAUCCCCUAGGAGCCCUGUGAGGUUGCUGCUGUUCUCUUAAGACACCAGGUAGCCAUCUGAUCCUCCCUGAGCAAACUAACUGGGCAGACAGGUUUAUUAAACCUCUGUUGGUCCGACUUACAUGAAACAAGAGAGUUAUUUUGUUGUUGUUGUUUUGUUUUGUUUUAAAUUAAACCUGUCUUUGGAGCCUCCUGCUCUUAGUUUACAAGUCUUCUUUGCACACUCUAAUAUUUUAAGAAGCAGCAAACAUUAACUGAGGGUCUA
rnacentral:lncRNA from 10 species